GGGCGGAGGCAGUGUCGUAGUGGUUGUGUUGGGAGAGAGAGAAGCAAAGUGUUCUUGAACCGAGAAUCGCAGAGCAGCAGGAAGAUGGACAGCCGCAGAGACGGAGAGAGAGACAAAUGGAAUUCAAUGGGAAGGGAAGCGAGGGAACAAGACAGAUCGAGGUUGUCAUCAUCAUCAUCAUCAUCAGAGUCAUCGGCUUCAGAGCCCUUCAGCGACAGUAGGGAGGAGGGCACGAAGCAUCUACCGGCCGAAGAUGUGGAGACGAAGGAGAAGAGAUGGGAGGCGGAGGAGAUGAAGAGGAGAAUGGAGGAGAUGAAGAGGAGAAUGGAGGAGAUGGAAAAAGAGAUGAGGAUGCUGAAGAAAGAGUUGAAGGAGAAGGACACUGAAAAGAUACUGCUUGAAGAUCGAAUAAGGGAGAUGGAGAGAAGUAUGAAGAGGGAGAAGGAGGCGGAGGUGGAGGAGGCGAAGAGACGGAUGGCGAAGGAGAGGAGAGAAGAGUGGAUGGCGUGGGAGGAGGAGAAAAUAAGGUUGGAGAAAGCGUGGGAGGUGGAGAGGGCAUCGCUGGAGGCGUGUGGGAAUGAGAAGACCAAGCUGGAGGAGGCGAAUGGAGCGUUGAGGCGGAGAGCAGAACACUACCAGGGAGCAUCUAUUGAGCUGCAGGAGAGGAUUGAGCAACUCGAGGGUGACCUGCGCCGGUUGGAGGGAAGGGAAGAGGCGCUUCUGGAGAACUAUAAUGAACUUGACUAUUUCAAGAAGCGCUGCGUGGCCAUCUUGAGGGGCGAGAGGGUGGACACAGGCACGGUACGAGAGUUUAUCGAAGACGCGGCGGGCAAGGACGAGCUGCAGCUUCACGUGGCUGUCUCCCUGGGCUUGGACAGACACGUGGAGGGUUUACUGCGAAGGCUCAACGGCACGGAGCGGAACGACAGGCGCUGGAGCGCCCUACAGCUGGCGGUCGCUCGCGGAGACAACAAGACCGUCAGAAAAUUGUGGGACCAGCGAUCAGCCAGGGAGGAGUGCCCGCCGCUGCUGCACUUGGCCGCCGCUAACAGGCAGAGAGACACCGCCGAGAUGCUCAAGAAGAAGAAGAUGAAGUUGGAAGCAGAGUACCAGGGCGUGACAGCGUGGGACGUGGCCCAAGCGAUGGAGCACUGGGAGAUGACGGAUAUAUUGAACAAGAGGAACGGGCUGAUGUGCUGGAAGUUCCAGGUCGCCAAGCCGGUUCACCCGCAGGUCAUCGAGGAACUGCGUCUGUUUAUGCAUCAGAACUACACUACCGGCGCGGGGUCAUCGUCGAUCAGGGCAGAAGAGGGAUUGGACCUUGAGCAGGGAAGUUUGGAAGAGGAGGAGGAAAGAGAACAAAGAGGAGGAAGAGGAGGAGGAUCGCAAAUUGCCGGAGGAGGAAGUCUGAAAUAUGAGGAAGAAAGAGGAGGAAGAGGAGGAAGAGGAGGAGGAUCGGAAAUUGCCAGAGGAGGAAGUUUGAAAUAUGAGGAAGAAAGAGGAGGAAGAGGAGGAAGAGGAAGAGGAGGAGGAUCGCAAAUUGCCGGAAGUCUGAAAUAUGAGGAAGAAAAAGGAGGAAGAGGAGGAAGAGCAAGAGGAAGUCUGAAAAAUGAGGAAGAAAGAGGAGGAAGAGGAAGAGGAGGAUCGGAAAUUGCCGAAGAAGGAAGCUUGAAAGAUGAGAAACUAAGAGGAGAAAGAGGAAGAGGAAAGAGGAUACCAGAUUAUGAGAUCACUGACGAGGGGGCCGCGACGAAGGCGAAGAGGGGAAAGCAGAUGGAAGGAGUGGAGGAGAGGUGGAAAAGUGGAGGAAAAAGACAGGAGGAGAGAGCAAAGGACUUGGGACCGUUGCCGCGGGGUCUGCCUAACUUGGGCCAGACUUGCUACAUGAACUGUGUCCUGCAAAGCUUGUACCACCUGCAGCCACUCGCCGAGGUCUUCAGAGAGCUCCAAGGGCCGAGUAACCAAGGCGAGGUGGUUCUGGCGACCAUGAACCUCUGGGCGGCUCUGCGGGAUGGAAGGGACUUAGAGGGCAGAGUUAAACAUAUGAAGGUAGGUGGUGGUGGUGGUGGUGGUGGUGGUAGUGGUGGUGGCGGUGGUUAUGGUGGUGGUGGUGGUGGUGGAGUGGUCAACAUGAACAGAUUACACUAAGCAAACUUAAACGACUCUAUCUCAGGUUAAAUCUUAUUGUUGGAUGCUGGGAAAGGUUGAAUCUUAUUGGUGGAUGCUGGGAAAGGUUGAAUCUUAUUGUUGGAUGCUGGGAAAGGUUGAAUCUUAUUGGUGGAUGCUGGGAAAGGUUGAAUCUUAUUGUUGGAUGCUGGGAAAGGUUGAAUCUUAUUGGUGGAUGCUGGGAAAGGUUGAAUCUUAUUGGUGGAUGCUGGGAAAGGUUGAAUCUUAUUGGUGGAUGCUGGGAAAGGUUGAAUCUUAUUGGUGGAUGCUGGGAAAGGUUGAAUCUUAUUGGUGGAUGCUGGGAAAGGUUGAAUCUUAUUGGUGGAUGCUGGGAAAGGUUGAAUUUUACUGAACCAGGCAAGAUGGCGCCACUAUAAACACUUGCCUGGGCCACUUACGGGAUAGGCCGACAAGAUGCCUAGCCUAGCGACGUAUAGGCCUAACGUGAAAAAAAACGAAAAUACAGUUUGAAACACUUUUUGGU